UACGUAGGGCGCAAGCGUUGUCCGGAAUUAUUGGGCGUAAAGAGCUCGUAGGCGGCCUGUUACGUCUGCUGUGAAAUCCCGGGGCUUAACCCCGGAAGCGCAUUGGAUACGACGGCGCUGGAGUGCUGAAGAGGAGAGCGGAAUUCCCGGUGUAGAGGUGAAAUUCGUAGAUAUCGGGAGGAACACCAGUGGCGAAGGCGGCUCUCUGGGCAGACACUGACGCUGAGACGCGAAAGCAUGGGGAGCAAACAGG
rnacentral:rRNA from 1 species